GAUGAACGCUGGCGGCGUGCCUAAUACAUGCAAGUAGAACGCUGAAGGAAGGAGCUUGCUCUUUCCGGAUGAGUUGCGAACGGGUGAGUAACGCGUAGGUAACCUGCCUGGUAGCGGGGGAUAACUAUUGGAAACGAUAGCCAAUACCGCAUAACAGUAGAUGUUGCAUGAUAUCUACUUAAAAGGUGCAAUUGCACCACUACCAGAUGGACCUGCGUUGUAUUAGCUAGUUGGUGAGGUAACGGCUCACCAAGGCGACGAUACAUAGCCGACCUGAGAGGGUGAUCGGCCACACUGGGACUGAGACACGGCCCAGACUCCUACGGGAGGCAGCAGUAGGGAAUCUUCGGCAAUAGACGGAAGUCUGACCGAGCAACGCCGCGUGAGUGAAGAAGGUUUUCGGAUCGUAAAGCUCUGUUGUAAGAGAAGAACGAGUGUGAGAGUGGAAAGUUCACACUGUGACGGUAUCUUACCAGAAAGGGACGGCUAACUACGUG
rnacentral:rRNA from 1 species